UACGUAGGGGGCGAGCGUUGUCCGGAUUUAUUGGGCGUAAAGAGCUCGUAGGCGGUUUGGCAAGUCGGGUGUGAAAACUCCGGGCUCAACUCGGAGACGCCACUCGAUACUGCCAUGACUCGAGUCCGGUAGGGGAGUGCGGAAUUCCUGGUGUAGCGGUGAAAUGCGCAGAUAUCAGGAGGAACACCGAUGGCGAAGGCAGCUCGCUGGGACGGUACUGACGCUGAGGCGCGAAAGCGUGGGGAGCAAACAGG
rnacentral:rRNA from 1 species